AUUUAUUCAUAAAACAAAUUUGAAAUUUCUUUUCCCUUUUAUCCCUUUAUUUGACAAAGAUAGGAAAGAUAAAAAUCAAAUCUUGGAUUUGCCAAUAACUUCAGCAGCAACUGGCCAACUGUCCAUACAAAGAAUUGUUGCAGCAAAAUCUUUAAAUACAAGAGUAGAAAUCCAAUAAGUUCCACGGAAUAAGCAAGAGGGUAUGCACACUAGAAUUAUAAUAAAAACUCCAUAGAAUAGAAGCAAGAACAUAGUUCACAAUUAGAAUUAGUUUGAUGAAGAUAAACGUAAAUACCAAACAUAAAGCUCAGUAAUCUUCAAUACCUUCCCCUUGUUAUUCCAUAUAUAUGAGCAAAAAGAAGAACAAGAUCAUCUUAAGAUAACUUGUUCACAUAUGUUAGAUCACUACCUGUCGAUUAAAUUAAAACAACAAUUCCCAUACAUCAUCAAAUAUAAAUUUUCAUACUGCGUAAAGCACAUCCUUUAUUUCUCAUUAGAGCUCCCAAGGCUUGAUAAAUUGACAGAAAUUAAUGUUUGUAGAUCAUUAACAGAAGAAACGUUAAAAAGAAAAACAAAAACAGGCAAAAAAGUGCAAAUGCACAUAGAAUCUUGUUUAACUGUGGGACAUGAGACCUUACAAACUUGACUGAGCAACAGCAUAAUAAUUCAAAGAAACGCCUUUGAACGCCUAAUCAGGCAAUGAAGAGAGAGCCAAUUGACUGUAAGCGAUAGUUUGUCCUCAUGGUCUCUUAAUGAGAGAUGACCUUGAGAAUGCAUGAAAACUAUACUCAAUCUAGAGACAGGUAAUCCUUGUCCUCAUGGUCUCUUGGUCAGAGAUUACCUUGAGAAUGCAUGAAAACUAAAAGGAGGAUUCUGACCAAAUCACAAGGGAAUUUAAAUAAAAAAAAAAGCUUCUACAGUCAAUUCCAAACUAUCAAGUACACAUUUGAUAAUAGAAUAACAAACAUGGUUUCCAGAUGCAUAUGAUAGCACAAGCUUCUAAAUGGUUGCCCCUAAUGGCAGAUAAUUUGGUUUUUUGUAUUCGCAAAAAUUCCAAAAAGUUGCAUAUUCCUGUAAACUGGCAGCCUUAGUAAAUCUUAAGGAAUUUGCAAAAUAUAAGCUUUCAGAAGCUACAUCCAACAUUAAAAUUGUAAAACAUCACUCUUUGCUUGGGUCAUUAUGGUUUCAAAACUGAAGAAAAAUCUGAAGAAGCCAACCUCCUACAAACAUCCCCAUGAGCAUAAAUGAUCUUAGGCCCUUCUUUUUCGUGUAAUGACAUUCAUUUGCUAUAUUCUUUCAUUCUCUUUCAGUAAUUGGUGAUAUAAUUUUCCUUUGUUAGAAAAUAAGGAAAUCAAUGACAUGAACCAUGAAAUGCAGAUCUAUCGUGGAACUCAAAAGGACCAGAUAAGAUCACACACUAAAAAGCCACCAAGGAGUGGAUGAUCAAGACUCGAGGGAUUUCAAUCUUAACCCAUCCAAUAUUGGCCUUUCAUGGGAUUCCAAACUUUGGAUAGGAUUAUGAAAACACUAGCCAUACAAUUGAAAGAAAUAAUAGAGAUGCCGCUAGACACUCGCCACUCGCCACUCGCCAACCCAUAUGUAUGACUUGGUUCAUAUCCUUCCAUAGAAAAACAGAUACUUCAGUUAUUUGCAUGUUUGUUACCUUUAAAAGGACAUCCACACUUUAUUAACGUAAUAAGAUAGACAUUACAAAGGACAAGAUAUUCUAUCCA
rnacentral:misc_RNA from 1 species